AAUAGAUACCCGGGUAGUCCACGCCGUAAACGAUGAGUGCUAAGUGUUAGGGGGUUUCCGCCCCUUAGUGCUGCAGCUAACGCAUUAAGCACUCCGCCUGGGGAGUACGGUCGCAAGACUGAAACUCAAAGGAAUUGACGGGGGCCCGCACAAGCGGUGGAGCAUGUGGUUUAAUUCGAAGCAACGCGAAGAACCUUACCAGGUCUUGACAUCCCAUUGACCACUAUGGAGACAUAGUUUUCCCUUCGGGGACAACGGUGACAGGUGGUGCAUGGUUGUCGUCAGCUCGUGUCGUGAGAUGUUGGGUUAAGUCCCGCAACGAGCGCAACCCUUGUUCUUAGUUGCCAUCAUUUAGUUGGGCACUCUAAGGAGACUGCCGGUGACAAACCGGAGGAAGGUGGGGAUGACGUCAAAUCAUCAUGCCCCUUAUGACCUGGGCUACACACGUGCUACAAUGGACGGUACAAACGGUUGCCAACCCGCGAGGGGGAGCUAAUCCGGUAAAACCGUUCUCAGUUCGGAUUGUAGGCUGCAACUCGCCUACAUGAAGCCGG
rnacentral:rRNA from 1 species